AAAAAAAACUGACAUGCAGAGAAUAGGCCGUUCUUCUCUCUGGGGAAACAGAUCCUAGAGUCUCACCGUGUGUCUGUCAGGUCUGUCAGUAAGGCCUGUUUUAUCAGGUCACAUUGCCAUGUAUAAUGGAUGUUACUGUGGCAACCUGACAGGAUGAGAUGCUUUGUCUCUCUCUUUUCCUGCAUAUGAGAACUGAGCAGUGAAUUCUGAAGGGUCCUUCUAGCUCCGAGCUGUGCUUUCAGGCCGCUUCACUCCAUCAAACAGCUGAUAAAAUGGUCCGGGGAGAGCGAGAGAGACAGACUGCUGUGCCUGACGUGGAUACCGGGGCUUGUGAAACUGACCAGAUAAACUCCAACAGCUGGAUCCAGUGAAAUUGUAAGAGAGCAAUUUUCCAGACGUCAUCUCUGAAGUCACGGCCACAGGAAUGGAGGCUCAUUUCUAUCAGAAGUGUUUGUGCCUCCCUGACAAAGGGAAAUGAAAUGGCACCAAGGGCAAUCGAAUAAAUCAGCAUGCUCAUUCCCCAGAUUCCACAAUACAUUUCAACCCUGCAGCAUUUUUUUAUACUAAAUCGGCACUUUUUACUCUAAGACAUCAGAGUCUGGUGGGAGACUUCAGCUCUUUUUCAGACCCUAAUAAGCUACCUUGCUACUGCCUAACAACGUCCUAACUGGAAAAAUGUAAAUUACAGAUUUGCAAUUCUUCCAUGCACUUAAAAAAA
rnacentral:lncRNA from 1 species